AGAGUUUGAUCAUGGCUCAGGACGAACGCUGGCGGCGUGCUUCACACAUGCAAGUCGAACGGGGAUGCAGCAAAAGCUUGCUUUUAUUGCAUCCUAGUGGCGGACGGGUGAGUAACACGUGAGCAACCUGCCCGACAUACUGGGAUAACAGCGGGAAACCGUUGCUAAUACCGGAUACUCCAUUUCUGGCGCAUGUCAGAGAUGGGAAAGGGUUUACCGAUGUCGGAUGGGCUCGCGUCCCAUUAGCUGGUUGGUGAGGUAACGGCUCACCAAGGCUGCGAUGGGUAGCUGGUCUGAGAGGACGAUCAGCCACACUGGAACUGAGACACGGUCCAGACUCCUACGGGAGGCAGCAGUGGGGAAUAUUGCACAAUGGGCGAAAGCCUGAUGCAGCGACGCCGCGUGGAGGAUGAAGGCCUUCGGGUCGUAAACUUCUGUUGGAUGGGAAAAAAAGCCUAGGAAUAGGAAUUGAUGGUACCAUUCGAGUAAGCACCGGCUACUACGUGCCAGCAGCCGCGGUAAU
rnacentral:rRNA from 1 species